rnacentral:rRNA from 1 species
UCUGUUGAAAAAGGUUGGGAUGACUUGUGGAUAGCGGAGAAAUUCCAAUCGAACUCGGAGAUAGCUGGUUCUCCCCGAAAUAGCUUUAGGGCUAGCCUUAAGAGAUGAGUAACGGAGGUAGAGCACUGACUACCUGCGGGGGCUUCACCGCCUACCAAGGGUUAUCAAACUCCGAAUGCCGUAUACUUUAACUUAGGAGUCAGACUAUGAAUAAUAAGAUCCAUAGUCGAGAGGGAAAGAGCCCAGACCAACAGCUAAGGUCCCAAAAUAUAGAUUAAGUGGAAAAGGAUGUGAGAUUGCAUAGACAACUAGGAUGUUGGCUUAGAAGCAGCCAUUCAUUCAAAGAGUGCGUAAUAGCUCACUAGUCGAGUGAUCUUGCGCCGAAAAUUCUCGGGGCUAAAAUCUAUUACCGAAGCUUUGGCUUGAUACUAUGUAUCAGGGGUAGGGGAGCAUUGUAUAAAGGGCGAAGUAGAGUCGUAAGGCUCUGUGGACGAUAUACAAGAGAGAAUGUUGGCAUAAGUAGCGUAAAACAGGUGAGAAUCCUGUUCGCCGGAACCCUAAGGUUUCCUGAGGAAGGAUCGUCCUCUCAGGGUAAGUCAGGGCCUAAGCUGAAGGCGAAAGCCAUAGGCGAUGGACAACAGGUUAAGAUUCCUGUACCACCGAGCAUUGCAUGAGAGAAGGAGUGACACAGAAGGAUAGGCUAAGCACACGGUUGGAAAGGUGUGUCUAAGCAGUAAGGUAGUAUGAUAGGGAAAUCCGUCAUAUAAUACUGAGCUGUGAUAGGGAGCGAAAAAUAAGUAGCGAAGUAGUUGAUUUCACACUGGCAAGAAAAGCUUCUAUCGAGAUGUGAGGUGCCUGUACCGAGAACCGACACAGGUGGGGAGGUAGAGAAUACUAAGGCGAGCGAGAAAACUAUCGUUAAGGAACUCGGCAAAAUGACCCCGUAACUUCGGGAGAAGGGGUGCCAGGGAAGGUUAAGAGCUAACCCUGGCCGCAGAGAACAGAUCCAAGCAACUGUUUAACAAAAACACAGGUCUAUGCUAAAUCGUAAGAUGAUGUAUAUGGGCUGACGCCUGCCCGGUGCUGGAAGGUUAAGAGGAAGAGUUAGCGAAAGCAAAGCUGAGAAUCGAAGCCCCAGUAAACGGCGGCCGUAACUAUAACGGUCCUAAGGUAGCGAAAUUCCUUGUCGGGUAAGUUCCGACCCGCACGAAAGGCGUAAUGAUUUG